UACCCAAACGAAAAUCCCUUACACAGUUUAGAUACUGAUUUUGACAUAGACUCAUGGACGACCCUAUCUACACCCCUUUCUCUCAAACAAAACUUUUGGAGUUUAUGUAAUUAUUAUUAUCUUUUUAACGAAGUCGUAUUUUUUUUAAGUAGGAAUUCAUUUUUUAGGAUUUACAUCGCUUGUGCUAGAUUGUAACCGCGAACAAGAAAAAUCGCUAACUUUUCAACAAUUUCAAAAUAUUAAAUGAUAAAUUACAUUUUGAAAGUUCUGUUCAUCCAAGUUUUUGAUUUUUUUUUUUAAAUUUAUAGAAACAUUACAUUUCAGAAGUUUUACAUUCAUCCAUAUUUUUAAAAUUAUUUUAAACUUUUUGAAAAUUUUGAUUUUCAAGUAAGAGGUAAAAUGGUAUUUUCAUGAGUUUUGAUUUGGAGUUUGGAAUUUUGAUUUGGAAUUUAGUGGUGAUUUUUGUUUAGAGCUUUUGUGUUGCACAUAAGGUGUUUGAGUUUUUUUGUUGCACUUAAGAAAUUGCAUGUAGAAUCCUUUGGAUUGAUGAUGUAUCUUCAAUUUGGAAAGAACUUACACAAUGACUCGCACAAGGUGAUUUUGUAAGAAUUUCUCAAAUUACUUCUGAUCUCUCCUCUUUGAGACAAGGUGAUUCUUCUAUAACCAUCACUUAUACCUCGGCCUAUAUUGUUGUAAUACCUUUAUUAAUGUCAAUGAAUAUCGUAAUCAUGAUUUGGUCUUGUAUUUUCUUUAGGGUGUGAAUGACAACUAUGUUAAUGUUAGGUCUCAAAUUCUUCUGUUAGAUCCCCUUCCUUCUUUAACUAAAGCAUAUUAUAUGGUCCUUCAACAUGGGAGACAACUGCAAAUUUGCUUAUUACUGGCUCCUACUGCCUUCGCAAUUGAUUCUCGAUCUUCCUAUAUCAAAUCCUUACAAGGCAAACAAAAACCUACCAACAAGAAUUUUGGUGGAAAAAACUCUAAUUCUAAAUUGUGCACAAAGUGCAAGAAAACAAUCAUACCGUUGACAAGUGUUACUUUCUUCAUGGAUUUCCCUUGUUUAUUAAACCACAAAGGCUGUUAGUCAGACUAAACCUCGACAUAUUGAGUCUUCCUCUCCAAUUUUAUCAAGAGAACAAAUUCAAGGACAAUUGGGUUUGCUUCUUUCCCAAACUUCUGGGUCUAAUACUCAAGUCUCAGCCCUAUUUACAAAUCACAAUAUUCACACUGAUUCAGGUUCCAUAUUCCAAGAGGCUGAUUAGGACAAGCCAUAUACACAGGAGACUUUAUGUUUUGGAUGACCAGUGAGUCUCAGAUACUACAACCUCAACAACUACUGCUAACUUAUUAUCUAGUUUUCGCUUGAAUUCUUCGUCUUCUAAUUUUUAUUUAUGGAAUUCUCCCUUUGGACAUGUGAUAGUGUUUCAACAAGUGUACUGAAUCGUUGCAAGUAAUAAUAAAAACAGUAGUACUGAGUGUCGAACUCAA